rnacentral:rRNA from 1 species
UAGUGGGGGAUAGCCCGGCGAAAGCCGGAUUAAUACCGCAUACGAUCUGAGGAUGAAAGCGGGGGACCUUCGGGCCUCGCGCUAUAGGGUUGGCCGAUGGCUGAUUAGCUAGUUGGUGGGGUAAAGGCCUACCAAGGCGACGAUCAGUAGCUGGUCUGAGAGGACGACCAGCCACACUGGGACUGAGACACGGCCCAGACUCCUACGGGAGGCAGCAGUGGGGAAUUUUGGACAAUGGGCGAAAGCCUGAUCCAGCAAUGCCGCGUGUGUGAAGAAGGCCUUCGGGUUGUAAAGCACUUUUGUCCGGAAAGAAAUCCUUGGUUCUAAUAUAGCCGGGGGAUGACGGUACCGGAAGAAUAAGCACCGGCUAACUACGUGCCAGCAGCCGCGGUAAUACGUAGGGUGCAAGCGUUAAUCGGAAUUACUGGGCGUA